UACGUAGGCAGCAAGCGUUGUUCGGAGUUACUGGGCGUAAAGAGUGCGUAGGCGGUGCUCUAAGUUUGGUGUGAAAUCUCCCGGCUUAACUGGGAGGGUGCGCCGAAAACUGGAGUGCUUGAGUAUGGGAGAGGCAAGCGGAAUUCCUGGUGUAGCGGUGAAAUGCGUAGAUAUCGGGAGGAACACCAGUGGCGAAGGCGACUUCCUGGCCUGUUCUUGACGCUGAGGCGCGAAAGCUAGGGUAGCAAACGGG
rnacentral:rRNA from 1 species